AGGACGAACGCUGGCGGCGCGCUUAAUACAUGCAAGUCGAGCGAGAACCAGGGCUUCGGCUCUGGGGACAGCGGCGAACGGGUGAGUAACACGUGGGUAAUCAACCCCCGACACCGGGAUAGCCCAGGGAAACUUGGAUUAAUACCGGAUGCUCCGUCUGGCUUUAGGGCCGGCCGGAAAAGGGUAGCUUCGGCCUCCGGUCGGGGACGAGCCCGCGGCGGAUUAGCUUGUUGGUGAGGUAAAGGCUCACCAAGGCGACAAUCCGUAGCUGGUCUGAGAGGACGAUCAGCCACACUGGGACUGAGACACGGCCCAGACUCCUACGGGAGGCAGCAGUAGGGAAUCUUGCGCAAUGGGCGAAAGCCUGACGCAGCGACGCCGCGUGAGGGAAGAAGGCCUUCGGGUUGUAAACCUCUUUCAGGAGGGACGAAGCCACUCGGGUUAAUAGCCUAGAGGGUGACGGUACCUCCAGAAGAAGCCCCGGCUAACUACGUGCCAGCAGCCGC
rnacentral:rRNA from 1 species